AGUUCAAAACACACACCACCACACACACACCAAAAACCAAAAAACCCAAGAGAGAGAGAGAAACAAAGGGGAAAAGGGAAAUCUUUUUUUCUUUUUCUUUUUCUUUUGGUUUGUUUUUUUUGGUUUCUUUUUUGGCUCAAAAUCAAAUCGAAACGAAAAGGGAGGUCAUAUUUCUUUUCAAAGGGCAAAAAGCAAGAAAGGAGAGAGAAGAGGAGGAAGGAAGAGAGAAGAAAAGAA
rnacentral:ribozyme from 1 species